rnacentral:lncRNA from 1 species
AUCUGUCUCUAUAGAUUCUACCUCUUCAGCUGUCAGCCUGUUGUUGCCCUUCACUUCAUCGAGUUCCUUCUGCAGCCUGGCACUCUUCUCCUCUUCCUCCUGAAGCUUUCUCUUUACUACACGGAGCUCCUGCUGGGCUUCACAUUUAAUAUCAUUGGCUACAACCACUGCAGUCUGUAGAUCAGCUUGAAAACGCUUCCAUUCUUCUGUAUCUUCCUUCAUUUGCUUAGUCAGAGCCUUCAGCUGCCUCUCUAUAUCUUGUUUUUGCUCUUCCAGCUUCAUAGUUUUACUUUCUAAGUCACUGAUGAUCUGGUUGUUGUGAAGUUUGAUAGCACGAUGUUGCUCC